rnacentral:rRNA from 1 species
UACGAAGGGGGCUAGCGUUGUUCGGAAUUACUGGGCGUAAAGCGCACGUAGGCGGAUUGUUAAGUGAGGGGUGAAAUCCCAGGGCUCAACCCUGGAACUGCCUCUCAUACUGGCAAUCUCGAGUUCGAGAGAGGUGAGUGGAAUUGCGAGUGUAGAGGUGAAAUUCGUAGAUAUUCGGAAGAACACCAGUGGCGAAGGCGGCUCACUGGACCGGUAUUGACGCUGAGGUGCGAAAGCGUGGGGAGCAAACAGG